AAGACUUGUUUCUCCCCCAGGGUAGAGCUUUUGUGACAUCACACUAGAGCUGGAGGUAGAGAUAGUGACCUAGUUCUCAUGGAGUAGCACUGUUUGAGGAGGGCUCACUGGGAACAUGAUACGGUGGUCCCUAGUUUUCCUGGUUUGCCUUCCUCAAAGUAAAAUCUCUGCCUUAUGAAUGAGCUGAACAGGAUCAACUGGGACCCUGCUUUGGAUCAGCAUGACAUGCCUGGGGGGAGUUUCUAAUUUAUGAAUGAGGCUCCUUGGGGAAGAGAGACCUGAUCUCUCUGCUGCUCUUGCCUGGAAUAAAGCUCCUACAACAAGGGACUGAGAGAUGAGAAAAACCUGACAGCAUGCUCUUCACAAGUUGGAAAUGUAGUCCUACACUGAUGCUAUGAGGAAAGGGAGCCUCCAUCUUCAUCACUGUACUUACCAGAAUGAGAGCUCCUGGAACAUUUUCAUAAGAAGUGAUGUGGGGGAAGAAAAAGGACAGGAGUUCUAGUUUUGAAUGGUCACACACCAACUCUGAUCUGCUCAUCUAGAUUAAGAAUGAUCAAGUGAAAAUAAAUGUUUCCAGAAGAAAAAUGAGUCCAGUGGGAAUGUGUCAAACGUUUUAAUCAACAGCCUAAAUCUUUGGAGGAGAAAUGAUAAGUUCUUCUCAGAGUGGAUACAGAAGAGAUAUAGAAGAUGUGAGGAGGAAGAAGGAAAGAAAGAAUUUCCCCAGCAGCAUAUGUAUUUACUGAUGUCCAUGUUGUGGGUGAUUGGAGUUUGAACCACAGUGGUGACUAUAAGCAUCAGCAUAGAAAGACAUGAAUUUUGGAGACAUUUGGGAAGUCGGAGGCUGCAGUUCUUAGGCUUUUAUUAUUCCUUCCCUAAAGAGCUUUCUCUGACUAUACCCAUCUAUAGGAAUGCUUCUUAAGGGGCAAGGACUAGAUUUAUGUUUUUUCCUAGUCCACCUUGUACUAAUACUUUUGUAAAAAGCAAUAAAAAUAAAUUAGUAGAAAAAUGAAAUAGAAAA
rnacentral:lncRNA from 1 species